GCUGUGACUCAAUAAUAGCUGAGUAUCUGCUUGGCAAGCAGAAGGUUCCAAGUUCAAUCCUCAGCAUCUCCA
rnacentral:tRNA from 1 species